rnacentral:misc_RNA from 1 species
GUUGCUGUUGCUGCUGCUGCUGCGACUGUUGGGAUAAUUUAUUUCCAGAACUUGAAGAUGUCAUUUGAUUAUUGCCAAGAAUUGAUGUAACAUUCCUUCCACCAACAGGAGAUGACUUCUGGGGGGGCAUAGAUGAAGGAUUCUUUGUCUGCUGCAACGAUAAGGAAGAUGAUUGACCAACUUUGUGGCCCAUAGAACCGGAGGUAGCAGUUCGCGGGCUUCCACCAGCACCCUUUGAGAUUGAAGAAUUA